UGGAAAUUCAUCAGCCAGUGAACUCUGGGACUGGCGUCCAGACGUGCAGGCUGGAAGCUCAGAUGGGAUGCGAUCAUGGGUUCUACUUACAGGCUGGAAGACAUCAAAGUUUUGAAACUCGUUUAGUAUAGAAGGAUGAUCCCGAGAUAUACUCCUGCUAUUCCUCUGGGAACUCUGCCAUUGAACUCCAUUUUGCACGGUAUCGUGACUUAGUCCAUAUGAAUAACUUGGUCUGAUACGACUAGG
rnacentral:misc_RNA from 1 species